AGUGAACGCUGGCGGUAGGCCUAACACAUGCAAGUCGAACGGCAGCACAGUGAGAUCUUGCUCUUACGGGUGGCGAGUGGCGGACGUGUGAGGAAUACAUCGUAAUCUACUUUUUCGUGGGGGAUAACGUAGGGAAACUUACUCUAAUACCGCAUACGACCUACUGGUGAAAGCAUUGGAUCUUCUGACCUUGCGCGAUUGAAUGAGCCGAUGUCGGAUUAGCUAGUUGGCGGGGUAAAGGCCCACCAAGGCGACGAUCCGUAGCUGGUCUGAGAGGAUGAUCAGCCACACUGGAACUGAGACACGGUCCAGACGACGACGGGAGGCAGCAGUGGGGAAUAUUGGACAAUGGGCGGAAGCCUGAUCCAGCCAUACCGCGUGGGUGAAGAAGGCCUUCGGGUUGUAAAGACCUUUUGUUGGGAAAGAAAAGAAGCAGGUUAAUACCCAGCUGUUCUGACGGUACCCAAAGAAUAAGCACCGGCUAACUUCGUG
rnacentral:rRNA from 1 species